ACUUAAAUAACUUAUAUAAGAGUGUAAUAUUGAAGAUAUUAAAGAGAUCGCAUGAUCUUUGAGUA
rnacentral:tRNA from 1 species